GAGGCAUUCGUCAAGCUCUAUACCAUGAAUGGAAGGGGCUUCGAAAAGCUCAACGAAGCCCUCCUCACCUUGCUCCCAAAGCGAGUGGAUGCGCAAACGCUCUUCAACUACCGGCCAAUCAGCCUCAUUCACAUCUUCUCCAAGCUUGUCGCGAAGGUGCUCCUUCGACUGGCGCCACGAUUGGGUCCCAUGGUAUCCACCAAUCAAAGCGCGUUCAUUGCGAGGCGUUGGAUCCAUGAUAACUUCGUGCUGGUGCAACAGACUACUCGUCUACUUCACAACCUCAAGACGCCACGCAUGCUCCUCAAGCUUGAUGUUGCACGGGCCUUCGACAGUGUCUCCUGGCCAUUCCACUUGCAGAUACUGCAACAUCUUGGCUUCGGUCCCCGUUGGCGGGAAUGGAUCUCCAUACUCCUCUCGACCGCUUCCACGCGAGUUCUCAUUAAUGGGCACCCGGAACCACAGAUCGACCAUGCGCAUGGACUCCGGCGGGGCGACCCGGUCUCCCCGAUGCUCUUCACUCUAGUCAUCGACGUGCUCAACACAAUGCUACUCCGCGCGGUGGAUCGAGGCCUUCUCCGACGCCUUACCACUCGACACCUGACCUCGAGUAUAUCUCUUUACGCAGACAACGUCGUCAUCUUCUGUCACGACCGGUUUUCCAAUAAAAAUAUUUAUUGA
rnacentral:rRNA from 1 species